AAAGGGAGACCUAAUUCCGGUAGGAGACGAAAAAAGUAGUCCCAACCAAGAAUCAAUCCCAAAAGGUCGGAGCGAGGCGAAAUUGGCUUUCAAACUAGGUUCUGGGUUCACACAAGACCUGAAUCAGGAACAAGGGCUAUUAGCUCAGGUGGUUAGAGCGCACCCCUGAUAAGGGUGAGGUCCCUGGUUCGAGUCCAGGAUGGCCCACCUGCACAGGUGGCAAAAACAAAGAAAAAAAGCUCCGAAUCAGCACCUUAUCUUACUUAUACAGUAAGAGAGAAUGCUGGCUCUGAGUUCAGAGUCCAGAGGAACCUUGAAAACUGCAUAGAGCUAGGUGAAAAAGCCAAAAAAGAAGACCGCAAG
rnacentral:tRNA from 1 species